GGGCCCGUCUCAGCAAGGUAGAGCGGCAGGCUCUUAACCUGUUGGAUGUCUCCUUGAGCGUCCGGGGAGUGGUCAGGGGUUCGAUUCCCCUCGGGCCCG
rnacentral:tRNA from 1 species